rnacentral:rRNA from 1 species
ACUUUGCAAUGUGCGAAAGCACGACAAGGUUAAUCCGAGUGGUUUCUGAUAAAGAAACCUUUUGUCAGUCCUAGAAACACUAACGAAUAAGGGGUGGGCAAGUUCUGGUGUCAGCCGCCGCGGUAAAACCAGCACCUCAAGUGGUCACGGAUGAUUAUUGGGCCUAAAGCAUUCGUAGCUCGUUUUGUAAGUUUUCGGUUAAAUCCAUGCGCUUAACGUAUGGGCUGCCGGGAAUACUGCAUAACUAGGAAGUGGGAGAGGUAGACGGUACUCGGGAGGAAGGGGUAAAAUCCUUUGAUCUCUUGAUGACCACCUGUGGCGAAGGCGGUCUACCAGAACACGUUCGACGGUGAGGGAUGAAAGCUGGGGGAGCAAACCGGAUUAGAUACCCGGGUAGUCCCAGCUGUAAACUAUGCAAACUCAGUGAUGCAUUGGCUUAUGGCCAAUGCNUUGCUGCAAGGAACCNUUAAGUUUGCCNCCUGGGAAGUACNUNCGCNAGNAUG